rnacentral:rRNA from 1 species
UACGAAGGGGGCUAGCGUUGUUCGGAAUUACUGGGCGUAAAGCGCGCGUAGGCGGUUCGAUCAGUCAGGGGUGAAAUCCCAGGGCUCAACCCUGGAACUGCCUUUGAUACUGUCGAUCUGGAGUAUGGAAGAGGUGAGUGGAAUUCCGAGUGUAGAGGUGAAAUUCGUAGAUAUUCGGAGGAACACCAGUGGCGAAGGCGGCUCACUGGUCCAUUACUGACGCUGAGGUGCGAAAGCGUGGGGAGCAAACAGG